UACGAAGGGGGCUAGCGUUGCUCGGAAUCACUGGGCGUAAAGGGUGCGUAGGCGGGUUUUUAAGUCAGGGGUGAAAUCCUGGAGCUCAACUCCAGAACUGCCUUUGAUACUGGCGAUCUUGAGUCCGGGAGAGGUGAGUGGAACUGCGAGUGUAGAGGUGAAAUUCGUAGAUAUUCGCAAGAACACCAGUGGCGAAGGCGGCUCACUGGCCCGGUACUGACGCUGAGGUGCGAAAGCGUGGGGAGCAAACAGG
rnacentral:rRNA from 1 species